UUCCGGGUCCUGGAGAGGAGAUGGCUGCUGCUCUCAGCACGAGUGAAGUCUCUCCCUCCCCUCCCUCGUCCAGACUAACAUGAAAUGGCUGCUUAUGUGGCAAUUCAGAAGAGAAAAGGCCAUGAAUGCUUCGUAAUUAUGUUCCAGCAACAAUAACUCACUAAUUGGCAUCAUAAUCAUAAAUGUCCCUCUGAGAUAUGGAAAUAGCUGUGUGGCUGUACAAU